GUUUAAAGACACAUUACUGGGAGUAUUAUUGCUGUGGAGCUCUGUAGAGUUAUACACCGAGACACAUUACUGGGAGUAUUAUUGCUGUGGAGCUCUGUUAUACACUCAGACACAUUACUGGUAAUAUUAUUGCUGUGGAGCUCUGUAAUACACUCAGACACAUUACUGGGAGUAUUAUUGCUGUGGAACUCUGUUAUACACUCAGACACAUUACUGGGAGUAUUAUUGAUGUGGAGCUCUGUUAUACACUCAGACACAUUACUGGGAGUAUUAUUGCUGUGGAGCUCUGUUAUACACUCAGACACAUUACUGGUAAUAUUAUUGCUGUGGAGCUCUGCUAUACACUCAGACACAUUACUGGGAGUAUUAUUGCUGUGGAGCUCUGCUAUACACUCAGACACAUUACUGGGAGUAUUAUUGCUGUGGAGCUCUGUUAUACAUUCAGACACAUUACUGUUAGUAUUAUUGCUGUGGAGCUCUGUUAUACACUCAGGCACACCAACAAUACAGAGCUCCUAGAAAAGAGGGACAUCAGGAUAGAGAAGAGAGACAGAGGGAUUUGGGCCUAAAAUAGGGACUGUCCUUUCUAAAUAGGGACACCUGGGAGUUAUACGUGUGAUGUGAUUUUAUUCAUUAUAUCAUAAUGGGGACAUUUGGAAGGUAGGGAUUUAGAGUAGGAUGUACUGGGGUGCUUUAUUCUAAAAGAAGGUUAAGCUUGAUAAAGGCACAUGCAUAAUGAUUCAUGCCAUCUAUUUAUUUAUGACUAUUUAUCAAUCUAUUUUAAUAACAACAUAAAAAUAAAUUGAUCUGUGGUUAGGAAGAUUGUCAGUAGAACCCCAUAGCUAAUGAUUGUC